GCCUUAAAUUUUCUUCUUCUGUAUCAUGCCAAUCAUUUGUGAUUGGCUCUUUUAACUCUUUAUUUAAAAAUUUUAAGUGUGUAGGUUUGGUGAGGAUAUCAUCUGGCUAAGACUUUUUACUCCUUCAUAAACUAUGAGCUAAAAUAUUUUUUCCUUAUGGAAUCAAAGUUUCACUCCAGGAUUAAAAUCGACAUCCUUGUAAUGUGCUGGCAAUGUGAGAUGGAGACCUAAGGGGAAGUAGCUUUGAAGCCUUCUCUCUAGAGUGGGAGCAAGAUCAUCAUAAAGGAGACAAGCAGAGGGAAAUCUGAAGACUCAAGAUCAGCCUCCUGCCACCAAACUUACCCAACAGGGGACACAGUCUCACUUCCUGGAGACAGAGAAGCUUCCCCUUCACCUAAAGAGUCAAAGCCUUUAUAGGGAAUUUUCUGGAGUCAGGCCCAAUGCCUCCUUUCUGGGACUGUGCCCAGGAACUCAUUCUUCUGUAGCUUACAGCCUGCAGACACAUCACUUCAGAGGGCAAUUGCUCUAGAAGUCUAUGAGAGCUGUAACACUUCUCAGCCAUGAACACAUGCUAUGUAAGGGACAGAUCUUAAUCAGUAUCCUGGCACUGUUGGGAGAGAGCUUUGAGCUGUAACAUGGUUUGGAGCUGUAAUGGCUCUCAGCAAUCAUCUACUGUUACUGAGAGUUCAAAUUGUUUCAUUUAUAUCCCUGGUGGAAAUCUGUCUGAAGUUAUUGUACUUGGAUAGGGAAUAAAGUGCCUCCUGUUUGCUUUCA
rnacentral:lncRNA from 1 species